CCCAUUGGACGCCCCACGGUCACGUGACGUGCCGCCGGCUUUCAAACGGAUUUUUCUCUCUUGCCGGCCACCGCUUUUCAGCCUUCCUCCCUCGAAAUGCAGCAUUAGCGCCGCGGUGCAUCGACUCCCGUUUCCUUAAAAGGUGCAUACGACAGACAAAAGGCAUCCUCAACACUUCAGUCACUAGAGCAUUUGCCCAGAAAUAUCUGACAAGGCAACAAAAGGUUGUGCAAGUCCGCAGUCAGAUAGGGUGGUGCACCUAAACCACCUGAAGAUAUAGAAUUUUAAACAAAAUCGUUAAUCCGCAUGAAAGGAAUACUGUUAAAAGCAAUCCUGAAUCCCUGGACAACAGAAAUUAGGAUACAAUCCAUGAAUGUUUCUACAAUAAGAAGGUAUCAGACAAUGCGGAGGGAUUCUACUUGGCCCAGUUCUUCUGCAACAUAGGACUGCUCCUUUGCAACAUUAUGACAGGGAAACCAACAAUGUUCAGUAACUUGGGCUAUGUCACCUGUACAUGUAUUCGAGGCAUCAAAUUUGCUGUUAGUCAUUGUGCAAGAGUGAUUUUGAAACUUACCAGUGGUUGAGGGUAGAUACCAUUCGAUCAUAACAUACCAAAGGAAGAGUAGACAAUUUGACAUUAUAGAGGUUUAUAAAGUCAUGGAGGGCAUGGAUACAAGGGAAUAACCAAGGUCUUUAUCCCAGGGUACAGGAGUCCAACAUUAGAGGGUAUAGAUUUAAGAUGAGAGGGGAAAGAUUUAAAAGGCACCCGUGGAGCAACUGCAGAGGAUGGUGUGUGUAUGCAAUGAGUUGCCGCUGGAGGUGGAUGCAAUUACAACAUUUAAAAGGCACCUUAAUGGGUAUGUGAAUAGGAUGGGUUUAGUGGGAAAUGGGCCUAGAUUAAUUUCGGAUAUCUGGUUGGCGAGGACAAGUUGGACCAAAAGGUCUUUUUCCAUGCUGUAUAGCCUUAUGACUCUUAAGUCUGCUUCACCACUACAAGAAAAAUUUGUGGCAUUAAAUUCUAUUGUCCUGCUUUCCCAUAAACCCUUCAUUUUGGAGUCAUAUCUCAAAGAAUGGAUGCUGACUCUGUGAUUAUAUGGAAUUGUUAGUCCCUUGAACUCAACCUUUUUAAGCAGAAGGAAAUGUGUUUCAAACAAAGAGCAAGAGAUAACUUUCCAAGCACACUUAUGAUACUUAUGAACAUGUUGAGCUGCAAAUGCUUUCCCUACUCUUCAUUUAACUCAUUAACAAGUCCUGGAAUUAUAAUUAAUAUAUCACAUAGCAACAAGGAUUUAAUCAGGAAAUUAUAGUAAAUGUAAAACAUUUAAUCAAUAAAUCAUACCAAUAUUACAUACAAUGAA